UUUAAAUAAGAAAAAUAUCUUAUUUUGGGAAAAUGUAUCUCACUUUUUGUUAAGUUUUUCCAGUUAAUAUCAAAACUGUAUUUGACCAGUAACAAGGAAAGGCAAUGGAUUUCAAAUCAUCCAAGUAAAGGAACAAGAUUGUUUUCCUUAUUUUAAGAUAGAGGGUUAUCUUAAAAUAAGAAUUAUGGUAAAUUUUGAACAUC